rnacentral:lncRNA from 1 species
UCCUGAGCUGAAGAAAGAGAACAUUAUCAAAAUGAAUUAAAGCUGCUUUGCUGAUAAUUUCACAAAUAGGGAACAUAGCCCCUUUGAAUAUCCUGUUUCUCCCAGUUUCUAGCCACUAAAGGUUAAACUCGUUCUCCCCUGCAAAGAAAGACAUGUCCGUUGAGUCCUUUGUCUAUAAAUUUCUAAAUUUUUACCUCCAUGUAAUACUUUAAUUUCGUCAGUUGACAAUGGCAAUCCUCCAUUUUUAUGUUUUAACAGACUCAACAAACAUAGAGUUGAAAACAUUUUAUCAGUAAUUGUUCCCUUGCUUUUUUAUAACAAAUAACAAUGCAGCAAUAAAAAAGACAUAUUUUUGCCACAGAGCAGAACAGUUCUAGUGUGCUUCUUUUAUGAUGAAUAGGCUACCAGUGAAAUCUGAUCGUUAAGUGCGUGUGACAUGAUUGCUCUUGGAGAAAAAUAUCACGUGAGUUGCCUUGCAGCAUUGGACCACUGGAUUUCCAUCCAUCCAUGCUACUCUAAGACAGCAGGUACCCCAACACGAGUCCUUCCAAAUGUACAAGAUGAUAUGUUUUGGGACAAGCAGCCAAUGUCUGUGCUUCUUGAUCCCACAGAUUGGGGCUGGACUCUACACCUUUAUCUGGAGGGUUGGUCUAGCUACAAAAAUCCGGGGUUUUUUUGAGAUUUUUAGACGUUGAAAAGAUUUUUAGCUGAGUCUGGAGAUUUUUAGAACAAUUUAGCAAGUUCAAGGAUUUUUAGAGUUUUUAGAGCCACAAAAGUCUGUAAAAUGUGUGAAAAAAUAUUCAGAGAGAGGAAUUAGAUAAAUAAUGUUUUUACAUGCGCAAAUAGGAACCCAAUUCGCUUGUAUAUGCGCAUUUAGGAACCCAAUUAGCUUGUAAAGCUAUAUAUAUAUAUAAGAGUGACAAGAGACCAGUCAUGGCUUCAUGCACAGCGGUUUCACCAUUCAAUUAACUUUGAGUUUAUUUUAAACAUUGAUGGGAUUUUUAGACGCAUUCUCGUGAUUUCUCGGAAAAGCUUUGAUAUUUUUUGUUAAAAUUGUGAGAUUUUUAGAAAAAAAAAAUGAGAUUGUUAGAAUUUUUUCUGAGGUUUUUAGAACUUUUUUGGAGAUUAUCUGGAUAGAUUUUUAGACGAUUUUCGGGGAUUUUUGUAGCUAGGCCUACUGGAGGGUAGAUAAACCAAAAUGGGUUGCCCUACCAAGAGUGACUGUCAGCUGUAAAAGAGCUAGCACAUAAAGAGCUGCACAAAAAAAUGUGUAUGUGCUAAUGUAGAUCUUCAAUGUAGUGUGCUUUCUGUGUUUGAUCGUCAGUUUGUAUGUUUGUUCUUGUACAGAUGUGUACAGUCAUCUCAGCAACAAAGAUAAAAGAGAACAUUUUGCCUUACAGAGUGGAGAUGUUUCAUCGCUUCUGAAAAGCAAGGUACACUCAUCAUUCUGAAGUGCAAUACCACACUUAGGUUACACUUGGUGUCACCAGGGGAAGCUGUUAACCUAACCAAACAAGAUGGUGUGGUCUACAUAAUUAAACAUCAGUUGUUCCAUCACGAAAUUAGAAGACCAGUGUGCACCAAAAGAUCAAGAAGGAAGACCAAGAGAUUUCAAACCCUAGCCAUGGCCAGGCCUCUGCCUUUUCAGAGCAUACUGCAGGACUGGCAACUAUUUGCGAUUAGGAUGAUUUAAGGUCUUAACAUUGAGACUUGCACUGAUACACAAAGAGGGUUAUAGAGCAAUGCAGAUACAACUUAACCAUGGCAGUAUGAUCAAAAAGUACAAUAGGAGGUCAGCAUGCCAAUAGACUGUUGAAGGCAAAACUUUCCAAAGAAAUGGCAAGGAUCAAAAUCCAUCAAGCACAGCAAUCAUAGCUGACCAAUGUGCAACAUAUGAGUAUAUGCAUGGUACAGCACUCCUCAAUGUUUUGAUAAAUAAUAGUUUUUUAAGUGCCUAUGAAAUGAAAGGCUUUUCAAAAUCCAGAAGAAUGGCAUUUUCCUUUUAAGAAUAUCUUUAUAUUAUGUAAAUUAGGAAAGUGAUGAUGUCAUAAGUUGUGCAAUUAAAACGCUAAAAUACUGAAUAAAUAAUAUCCCUGGAAAUAUUGGAACGGUACUGUUCUUCAAACUUAACACCAAGAGUGUACAUCACAAAACAAACAAAAUGACCAUUUUUGUGCUGUUGCAAUGACAACAGUUUUGCCACUGGUUAUUUCUUAAUUAAAACUGAAAUUCCAAGUUUACUAGGAGAGUUUAGCCAAUAUGGUAACCAUGUCUGUUCCGAGCAGGUCUCACUUUAAAGGUUGCAAAUGAGGAUAUUUGGUUUUUCACAGAAAGAGACUGGAGCCACUUCUGGUACCAAGUUUGAAAAACACUGCUACAAUAUUUCUAGAGAUAUUCAUGAUUCAGUAUUUUACAAUUUAUGAUUUUAGUUGCACAACUUAUGGAGUCAUCACUUUCCUAAUUUACAUAAUACAAAAAUGUCAGUAUCUCUAAAACAAGAAAAGAUAUUCCAAAAAGCAAAACGCCGCUCUUCUGUAUUUUGAAAAAGCUUCAAAAUAAGGAGGCACUUUUAAGGCUACAAUGUAUGUACAGUUCAUCCUGCCUU